AUUGAACGCUGGCGGCAGGCUUAACACAUGCAAGUCGAGCGGAGAGAGGUAGCUUGCUACUGAUCUUAGCGGCGGACGGGUGAGUAAUGCUUAGGAAUCUGCCUAUUAGUGGGGGACAACAUUUCGAAAGGAAUGCUAAUACCGCAUACGUCCUACGGGAGAAAGCAGGGGAUCUUCGGACCUUGCGCUAAUAGAUGAGCCUAAGUCGGAUUAGCUAGUUGGUGGGGUAAAGGCCUACCAAGGCGACGAUCUGUAGCGGGUCUGAGAGGAUGAUCAGCCAACCUGGGACUGAGACACGGCCCAGACUCCUACGGGAGGCAGCAGUGGGGAAUAUUGGACAAUGGGCGGAAGCCUGAUCCAGCCAUGCCGCGUGUGUGAAGAAGGCCUUAUGGUUGUAAAGCACUUUAAGCGAGGAGGAGGCUACUUUAGUUAAUACCUAGAGAUAGUGGACGUUACUCGCAGAAUAAGCACCGGCUAACUCUGUGCCAGCCGCCGCCGUAA
rnacentral:rRNA from 1 species